GGAAAGUGUCAUCCCUAAUUAGCCUUUGUGGACUGCACAGGUUUAUAUGGUAGGAAAGUGUCAUCCCUAAUUAGCCUUUGUGGACUGCACAGGUUUAUAUGGUAGGAAAGUGUCAUCCCUAAUUAGCCUUUGUGGACUGCACAGGUUUAUAUGGUAGGAAAGUGUCAUCCCUAAUUAGCCUUUGUGGACUGCACAGGUUUAUAUGGUAGGAAAGUGUCAUCCCUAAUUAGCCUUUGUGGACUGCACAGGUUUAUAUGGUAGGAAAGUGUCAUCCCUAAUUAGCCUUUGUGGACUGCACAGGUUUAUAUGGUAGGAAAGUGUCAUCCCUACUUAGCCUUUGUGGACUGCACAGGUUUAUAUGGUAGGAAAGUGUCAUCCCUACUUAGCCUUUGUGGACUGCACAGGUUUAUAUGGUAGGAAAGUGUCAUCCCUACUUAGCCUUUGUGGACUGCACAGGUUUAUAUGGUAGGAAAGUGUCAUCCCUACUUAGCCUUUGUGGACUGCACAGGUUUAUAUGGACGGAAAGUGUCAUCCCUACUUAGCCUUUGUGGACUGCACAGGUUUAUAUGGUAGGAAAGUGUCAUCCCUACUUAGCCUUUGUGGACUGCACAGGUUUAUAUGGGUGUCAUCCCUAAUUAGCCUUUGUGGACUGCACAGGUUUAUAUGGUAGGAAAGUGUCAUCCCUAAUUAGCCUUUGUGGACUGCACAGGUUUAUAUGACGGAAAGUGUCAUCCCUAAUUAGCCUUUGUGGACUGCACAGGUUUAUAUGGUAGGACACUUAACACUCAUUCAUUUAGCUAAGUUUUCCCAGAACGGCGCUUAUUAUCCCCCGCCAUAGGCGGAGGGAUAUUGUUUUGGCGUUGUCCGUCAGUCUGUCUUUCCAUCCGUCCGAAGCCAUAUCUUGGAAGUGCUUUGGCGGAUUUCAUUCAAACUUGGUAUGAGUAUAUAUAUAUGGCUAACAGAAUGAUGCACGCCAAAUGGCAUUGUACACAAUCCGUUAAUAACGGAGUUAUAUAGCCCUUUGUAUUUUGAAAAAAUGCCUUUUGAGUGUCAAAUACUAGCGCCGUCGAACGCAUUAAGCCAUAUAACUCUUUUUUUCACUAUUUCUUUAUUUGCAAAAAAUACUAGUGGCUUAUAACUUACCUUGCAAUCUUUUUUUCUCGCAUUUUACGAGUGUGCGAGUGUUCAUUUCGAGCCCUGUGUAUAUGCGUGGAUUACGCUGGAUUUAAAUGCCUUAUGCCUACGGUAAUUCAGUCUUAUUUGUUUCAAAUAUGGGACAUGAUUGUUCGUUAGGAUCUUGAAUUCGUCCAUCGGUCGAAGGACGAAAAAGGCGAAAAUUAAUGUCGGACGAAUAAUAAUGGUUUCACAGUAUAACACUUUUUUGUCCAGAAACAUAUAGGUGGGGGAUAUCAAUUCAACUAAUUUGCUUGUUUCUUUUUAUGAGAGAAUUCGAAGACAAGUUGAAUACAAGCAAUUAAGCUCAAUUGUAUAUCCAAACAAAGAAAGAUACAGUUGGCAAUAUAUAAUUUCCCAACAAAGAAACGAAUUCUUUGUUUGUUCCUCGAUUUAAUUUUCAUGUUUUUUAUCCUGCUUUAAGGGCAUACCAGAGCAUUUAGACAUUUCUAAUAUAGUUCAUAUCAUGUUUCCAGGUUACCAGGAAUGAUGAUUUUACAUAUCCUGUUACCAGGACUACUGUUUUUCAUAUCUGUUUCCAGACAGGCAUGAAUGAUGUUUUACACAAUCCUGUUUCCAGGUUAAAGUAAAUCAUGUUUUUUUAUAUCAA